AUCACAUAAAUGGAGCCACAGGAAACAUUUUUAGUUUUGUGGUGAACUGUCCCUUUAAUUCUCUAAGGAUGCUUUAAAUGUGAAGAUUUGAACUCCUGUACCUGCGGGUCGGUAACCGGCAGUGAAACGAGAAGCUGAGAGGAGGAAGCAGACGGCCUGCAGGACUCUGUGGGGAAAACGCUCUUCCUCAAGCACGACGUGCGUCACGGCUUCCGACGGGCCGUCAGCGCCUCCGCUCAAAUUUAAAGGAUCUGUGCAGAUGUUCUUGUUGGAAUACACGGAGACAUCUCUCUGCAGGCGGCGGCGUCUGAUGGAGCUCGUCAGGCUGUGGGCGCAGGACGUGGAGCCGGAAAUCCAGCGUAAAGAUAAGAGAAUGUAACGUUAAAAAAAGAUCACAUGCACGUGACUAUCUCCAUGUGCGUCUGUCACUGUGUGUUUAACAAACCGGUAACGUGCAGUAAAAUGGAAACACACACACCUGUCUACACAGACGACAGGUGGGGGUUCAAGACGCGUUCAGGGCCAUAAAUUACAAAUAAAAACAUUGUACUUAAUAAAAUGUCCACGAAGUGA